GAAUCAACAUGGCUGCCACCGUCUAACAAGCGAAACUAAAACAGUGUUCCAAAACAGUAAAUAAUUAUUUAGGUAUUUGAGAAAUAAGUGGAUAAAACGUACAACUAUCACUUUAUAAUGUUUCUGAAGUGUUUCCCUGAUGGAUUACUUCUCUCCUCGAUGGAUUCUAAAAACACGUGACGGCUCGUAACUGCUGAACGUCGCUCUGGACAGAAACACACUUGGAUCACUACGGAUGAGCGGUAUGGAGAUACUUUGUGGAUUCAAUUUUGUGUUCUUGGACAUUAGUCUGGGGCGCCGUCUGCCAUCAGGUGUGCAAGCCGCUCCCCCCGCCGAUCUCCGCAAGGGAUGUGAGGACUCCACCAGGGCCUCCGUCAGCAUAUGGGAUUACAUUUGGCAGCAUGGCUCUGUUCUGCACCUCUCCACGCACCUAUGUGGAAAGCCUACGGCAGAGAGAGCGCACCUCUCUGUACUUCCACAUACCUACAUGGAAAGCCUAAGGCGGAUAAAGCACACCUCUCUGCCCUUCCACGUGCCUACAUGGAAAGCUUAAGGCGGAGAGAGCACACCGCUCUGGUCUUCCACAGACAAACAAGGAAAGCCUGGGGCAGAGAUAGCAUUGAUCAAUGACACUGAUAAGUCGGAAACAACAUGAAAAGGAGGAGCUGGGGUGGAGCCGGGUUGCAAAGUGGUUUGCAGAGGAAUCAGCAACAGUAGUUAAAUAGGGCGCCCUGAAUGAGAUUUGCCAAUUGGUUGCCAGCAAGGAACCAUGUCAUCUAUCAGCUGACUCAAUUCCAUCAAUCAGCUGCUCCAUCAGCUGCUGUCGCUGGGAUGUGAGCUGAGCUUGACAUUGUGUCCUGCCUGAACAAACGCCAUUUUGAAUUUUGUAUGAUGUCCUGUAAAUUAGUGCCCCAUGAAUGACUUCUUUUUCACAGAAAAUCAAAUCAAAAGAAAAUGUUGGUAUUGUACAAUUCUGCAAACCACAAAUAUAUUACAUUUGCACAU